rnacentral:rRNA from 1 species
AAUAUUGGACAAUGGGGGCAACCCUGAUCCAGCCAUGCCGCGUGUGUGAAGAAGGUCUNGGGAUUNUNAAGCACUUUAAGUUGGGNGAAAGGGCUUUAGGCUAAUACCCUGAAGUUUUGACGUUACCAACAGAAUAAGCACCGGCUAACUUCGUGCCAGCAGCCGCGGUAAUACGAAGGGUACAAGCGUUAAUCGGAAUUACUGGGCGUAAAGUGUGCGUAGGUGGUUUGUCAAGUUGGAAGUGAAAGCCCCGGGCUCCACCUGGGAACUGCUUUCAUAACUGCUGAGCUAGAGUACGGUAGAGGGUAAUGGAAUUUCCUGUGUCGCGGUGAAAUGCGUAGAUAUAGGAAGGAACACCAGUGGCGAAGACGACUACCUGGACUGAUACUGACACUGAGGUGCGAAAGCGUGGGGAGCAAAC